rnacentral:lncRNA from 1 species
UUGGCUUGGCUUUAAAUACUUUGUGCCCAUUGGUAUUUUGGUUAUGGAAAACUUUCCUUUAAUCCCAAUCCCUAGCAACUGGAUUCUUGCCGUCUCUGCCUUUGAUCAGGCUGCUGCUUUCUUGGCCGAUCGUUUGAAGUUUGGAGGGACAUGAGGUUUCCGCGGUCAAAUGCCCUUCAAAGUUUGUACUCUUUUAAAAUAAGGGGGCAGGGUUUUCCAUAGGAGGUUGGUUUGGUUGUUUCUGCUUCACUCAAAACUUGGUUCAAAGAUGGGUUAGAAGAAGAAGGUAGGGGAGGUCAGAAGGGUCAUAUUUUGCAGAAGGAUUUGAUUUGGAAGGCUUUUGGAAAUGGAAAUUUAAAGGAAAGAAUAAAUGGGUUUCUCUCUCUGCAUUUUUAGAUUGAAAACAAUUAUGAAGAGGUAGGGGUUUUAGUAGCUACGCAUGAAUAAACUUCCAUAACAUGUAACAUGAAACUGCAAUGUAAUUCCAUAUUUUAUUUGGACUUUUAUCAAUUUUUGUGAACAAAAAUUAUUUUUAAAAUUGAUAAUAACAUAGGUUGUGGGUAAGAGAUUAAUAAUUAUAAUAAACUAGUGCAUAAAAACACAACUAAAUUAACCAUAAAAUAAUCCUAUUUUUCCUCCUUAAACUUCGAUUCAAAAUUAAAUUACAUAGAAAAAUGUUACAUUUUAAUUUAUACAAAAUAAUUAUUCCUAAGGUUUGAGGUUUGUUCCUCCACCUCACAUGGGUAAAAAGAAAGGUUACAUUUUAUCUUUUUCCUUUUCAAUUUAAAAUUAAUGUUUUGUUAUUCCUCCUAUUUUCCAUCAUCAUUUGACAGUAUUUUCUAAUAAUAUAUUUUUUUCCAAUCUUAUUGUAACUAUAUAAUAAUUUUGAAACUUAUGUUUAAUUCAAUAAGUUGGGUUUUUAAUACGUUAGCCGUUAGCAAUUAUUCAGUAGAAAAUAAGUCAUCAUAUAUAAAGGACAUUAUUGUUUAAUAACCUUUAAAUUUAAAAAUAAAAAAAAAGCAAGUAAAUAAGUGAACUAGAUUUGAUACAUGUGACUUAGGUAUAAUAAUUAAAAUAAACAUAUUAUAUAAUACGUAUGUUUUUCUGGAAGAGAGAUACGACUUUAGGUAUAUAAUACGUAAUGAUAUUUAAUAUAUGAAUUUUAUUUGUUAAUUAUUUAUAUUUUUAGUAAUUUGAUUUAUAAAUGAAGAAAUAUUAUUUCAAUUUGAAGUAUUUUAAUAUAAGUUGGAUUUUUUUUGGUUAAAAAGUUAACUGUCCUAUGAAGUGUAAAUUUUAAAAAACAAUUGUCAUACAAAAGGUAGAAUCAUUUAAAAUUUUAUUGAUAUGAGAUUGAAAUUAUGGGAAAGAAUAUAACAAGAACACAUGUAGGUAAAAUGAAGAUUCUCUAUUUUUUAAAAAAUGCAUUUCAUUAAUAAAAUGGUAUAUAGGGUUUAGGGUUUUAGUUCAAUUGGAAGAUGUCGUAUAUAUGGACUAUCCCACUCAAUAUCUAGAAUUCUUGAAAUUCGAGAUGAAAAUGUUAUUGGUUAAAGUGCAAUAUUUUUCAUAAAAUGGUUGUGCAUCAAUCCAUAUAAUAACCGAAUAUGGCUAUUUUUGAUCAUUUUGAAAAGAAUUUUUAACUUCAUAUCAGAUAUGUUUUUGUAUAAUAUUUCUCUUCACAAUUUAUACUUUUAUUGUAAGAAAUUGCCAGAAUUUAGUGGAGAAAAAUGAAAGAAUAACAUAGUAAUACAAGAAAAAACAAGUCCAAUAAAAAUGUAAACCCAAAGAACUACUAAUAAAUUUAAAUAUUUGGAAAUGUGUCAGUAGUUGCUAAUUGAAUUCCCCUUCAUUUAAUGGUUGUUUUAUUUGACACAAUGUAUGUAUUUCUCAACAAAAUUUAAGCUUAAUGCCCUAAUGCUUUAAUUUUUUGUUAAAUUAUUUUAACAAGUCAAAUUAUAAUAUUAUUUAAAAAAUUAAUAAUGAAAGGCAAGAAUUUUAUAUUUUAUAUUUUAUUAUUUAUUAAAUAAAACUUUUAAAAAUGAUUAGGUUAAAGAUUUCUUCCUGCCGCGUGCCUUUUCCUCACGCGCCCUUUCCUCUCUUCUCACAUCUCCUUCCUCUCCUCGCCGUCCCUCUUCGCGGUUAGUCUAUCUUUUCC